CCUACGGGAGGCAGCAGUGGGGAAUAUUGCACAAUGGGGGAAACCCUGAUGCAGCGACGCCGCGUGGGUGACGAAGUAUUUCGGUAUGUAAAGCCCUAUCAGCAGGGAAGAAGAUGACAGUACCUGACCAAGAAGCCCCGGCUAACUACGUGCCAGCAGCCGCGGUAAUACGUAGGGGGCAAGCGUUAUCCGGAUUUACUGGGUGUAAAGGGAGCGUAGGUGGCAUGGCAAGCCAGAAGUGAAAACCCGGGGCUUAACCCCGCGGAUUGCUUUUGGAACUGUCAGGCUGGAGUGCAGGAGGGGCAGGCGGAAUUCCUGGUGUAGCGGUGAAAUGCGUGGAUAUCAGGAGGAACACCGGUGGCGAAGGCGGCCUGCUGGACUGUAACUGACACUGAGGCUCGAAAGCGUGGGGAGCAAACAGGAUUAGAUACCCCAGUAGUC
rnacentral:rRNA from 1 species